GAUGAACGCUGGCGGCAGGCCUAAUACAUGCAAGUCGAACGGACAGAGGAGACGGUUUCUCGUUUGACGGUAGCGUGGGGGGGGGGAGAAACAUGUGUAUAACACAGCUAGAAGACGGGGGUAACUUCGUGAAACCGGAAGCUAAUACGGAUUAACGUUGGAAGCGCAUGGUGCGGGAGUUAAAGGCGGCUUUGCAGCGGCUGAGACAAGGAGCGACGCGGGAUUAGCUAGUGGGAAGGGUAACGGCUUACCAAGGCGACGAUGCGUAGCAGAUCUGAGAGGAUGAUCAGCCACACUGGAACUGAGACACGGUCCAGACUCCUACGGGAGGCAGCAGUAGGGAAUAUUGCACAAUGGGCGCAAGCCUGAUGCAGCCACGCCGCGUGUAUGAAGAAGGCCUUCGGGUCGUAAAGUACUGUCAUCGGGGAGGAAGAGAUUAAUGUUAAUAUCUGUACGCAUUGACGGUACCCGCAGAGAAAGCCCCGGCUAACUCCGUG
rnacentral:rRNA from 1 species